ensembl:lncRNA
AAUGUGGCCAUGGGGACAGACAUGCGCAUAGGAAGAAGGCCCUAUGAAGAUGAAGGCAGCGACCAGGGGACGCUUCCUCACACAAAGGAAUGCCCAAGAGUGCCAGCAGCCACCACAAACUAGGAGAGGCACCUAGAAAGAUUCUCCCGCCCUGCCCUUGGGAGGAACCCACCCUCAGUCCUUGAUCUUGGACCUCUCCUCCCUACACCUGUGGGGGAAUAAAUUCCUCUUGUUUAGGACUCGCACUCUGUGAUGCUCUGUUGUGGCAGAGUCUUGGGAAACUAAUGCAGAAGAGGAAACUGACUUUCCACCUCUCUCUGCACACGGGCAACCUGAGUCGAUUGCUGGGCCCUCGGUGGCAAGUGCUGUCCUGUCCACCUCCAGUGAGUACUGCCCAGGGCCACAUCCCAAGAUGGGCCACAGAAGAGCCACUAGCUGUCUCUCCACCUGCCAGCCAAAAGGUACUGAUGUCACCUUGAGCCAAAGGAAAACAAGGAGCCAUAAAUCAGUGUAUGAAUGAGCAAAGGAAUACAAUGGCACAGAAUAUUCAUUGUCAUUCCGUCUUCCUCAGGUGCAAGCAAUCAUAGGAUGGUUGAGACUUUACAGUCUUCUGACAGCUCUACCCACAUGAGUGCCACACGCACAUGUGAAACAGCUAUCAUCAAAACUGCGCUAGCAGCUAAGGAGUAAAAGGAAAUCUUAACCAAAGCCGUGACAUCCCCCAAAGGAUAUAUUUCACCAACGUGAUGGAACUGCUGGAACCUAGGCGGCCAGAUGCAAAUGACCCGAGCAAAGCCGCCUCCUCACUGGCCAGACCUCUUCUCCUCCCACACUCUGAAAUCUGAGACCCGUCCAUAAAUAUCCUCAAGUCAAACUCUAAGUACAAAAACAUCUAAGAAAUGUUGCCUGCACAAAAGCAUUUUUCCUCCAAGAAAGGGAAUUUCUGACAAAGUCUGGGAAGACAAAGGGACAAUUUGGAACAGGCACAAACUGAUUAUAAACAUGCUUUCUUUAAUUAAAUGAUAAAAUGUUAAAUAAAUCUUCUUUAGCACAAAAAUACUGAAAGUCGGUACUCAGCAAACAAAAUGAAUCAGCAAUUUUUUUUUUUCAAACCUUCGAGAUUAGUGAAAUUGACUUAUCACUCUGGCUAACAUAUCUUAGGCUUCCUAAUAUGUUAAAAAGCUUUGGAAAAUUUGGAAGGCAAUAUUCUAGCUCUCAGGAGGCCAACACCUCCUGACACCUAACAUCUAGCUUUGAGAGGCAAGACAAGGAGCCCACAGAGACGUGAGCUCUGCACAAGACCAGACGCCCUGGAGAUCCUGUUAGGAGGUUGCACGCAGAUGAUCUCGAUCACUAACCCCCAGCAGGAAUCUUGCCAAAUCGGUAUGAAUAUGUCCAUUUUGCAGACGCAGAAAUGGAAGGUGAAGAGGCCAAGGGAUAUGCCCAAGGUAACAGAGCUAGGAAGCAGCUGAGAUGGAAUUCUAACCGAAGUCUCUUUAACAUCAACUGCGUCCACCAUUAUAGUCUGUGAACCAUUCAGUAACGCCAUAUAAAUGGCAAAUUGCUUUUUCAUUAUUCAAGAAAUGAAUUGACAUUAUUGUUACUACCUUUAAGAAAGAAUUAAGGACAAUAGACAUGAAUUCUGACUACACAUAUUGAAGGAUAAGGGCCCAAUAUGUAAAUGAGAGAAGUUGAGGGACCUCAUGUCCUAGACAUGGACCACUAUUGUUUUAUUAGAGAAUUCACCGAUGUGAUGUCAUUCAGAGCAUUUUGCUGGCACAUUUUAGCAUUGAUCAUUGUACAAAUCAUUUUAAAUUGCAUAUAGCCGAUAUGAGUCACUUUCUUAGUUUGCAAGAGGGAACUCAGGUUUAGACAAGCCAGAUGAUUCACCUAAGAUCAUGCCAUUGAAAUUCUGAACCCAGAUCACCUUACUUGAAAUUCCACGAUUAAAAAAAAGUUAAACCUGGAGAAGGCUACUUCCAGUCUUCUCAGUGACACCUGUUCUAAAGUCUAUUCAGAAAUUCACAUUUUCUAAGGACUUUUGGAAAGUCAUCUGGAGAAAAUUGUCAUUGGAUUCUGUAGCCUCUAAAAGUAUUAUUUUUAUGUAGCCAUUAAUCCUCUAGAAGGGAAAUCUUUGGUCCUACUGAUAGACUGAAGGUGCAAAGGGCCUAAUGAGAGGCACCCGCCACAGAAAGCUGGGUCCUCACAGCCGGACAGCUCUUGCCUCUGUUGUGUUCUGCCAUUUCUGUCAUCCCAGAACCAGUUCCUCACUCACAUGUAAGGAAAACCAGUCUUUUAUUACAAACACAGGGGAUCCAGACAAAGAUGACUCAGCUGCCUUCAAAACACUGACAUGACUCAUGCUAGUUUGAUCAGCAUUUAAUGGUUUUCUUUUUUUUUUGAUGGAGUCUCGCUCUGUUGCCAGGUUGGAGUGCAGUGAUCUUGGCUCACUGCAAGCUCCUCCUCCCGGGUUCAAGUGAUUCUCCUGCCUCAGCCUCCCGAGUAGUUGGGACCACAGACGUGCACCACCACGGUCAGCUAAUUUUUGUAUUUUUAGUAGAGAUGGGUUUCACCAUGUUGGCCAGGAUGGUUUCGAUCUCUUGACCUCGUGAUCCACCCACCUCCACCUCCCAAAGUGCUGGGAUUACAGGUGUGAGCCUCCACACCCAGCCGCAUUUACUGGUUUUGAGUGCAGCUCCUGCGUCAGUGGGCAUGGUCCCCGCCACCCCAUGGACAGGCACCUUUGGGACUCUGGUGUCAGCGGCAGGAGCGCACCUGUCCUGUCUCAGGACGGCCCUGCCCAUCUCACCCAGAGUGAGAGAUGCUGAACUGGACACCACACAGACGUAGCAGCCACUGGGAGCCGAGCCGCCCCAGGGACCUCAGGAGGCAGAGGGGCGUCCACACAGCAUGGACACCGGCGACUGGCAUGUCUGCGGGGGAACAGUGGCCUCGCGGAGCAUGGGCAGGGCAGACCAGAACCAGGUCUGUUGCAGAAUGAACCCACCCCACUGAGGAAGUGGCUGGCUCUGGGGCAGAACAGAUGCUGACCCCACGGUGUCCUGAUAGAAGCACCAUAUUCCAGACUUGUCCAUCCAGAAACUUGAGUUUGGCUCUGUUGUGGUGGUGAUUAGACCAUCAGAGCCCACCCCAGCUUACCCAAGCCAGAACUCACUAAUCUGUUGACCAGGAUUACACAACACUCAGCACAUGUAUGGAGCAUACGCCGUGCAUCUAGUGAACAAAACGGACAAAGCUCCGGGUUCCCGUGGAGCAGAUUGUCCCCCAGGAGA